CCUACGGGCGGCUGCAGUGGGGAAUAUUGCACAAUGGGCGAAAGCCUGAUGCAGCAACGCCGCGUGAGUGAUGAAGGUCUUCGGAUUGUAAAGCUCUGUCUUCUGGGACGAUAAUGACGGUACCAGAGGAGGAAGCCACGGCUAACUACGUGCCAGCAGCCGCGGUAAUACGUAGGUGGCGAGCGUUGUCCGGAAUUACUGGGCGUAAAGGAUGCGUAGGCGGAUAUUUAAGUCAGAUGUGAAACCCCCAGGCUUAACUUGGGGACUGCAUUUGAAACUGGAUAUCUAGAGUGCAGGAGAGGUAAGUGGAAUUCCUAGUGUAGCGGUGAAAUGCGUAGAGAUUAGGAAGAACACCAGUGGCGAAGGCGGCUUACUGGACUGUAACUGACGCUGAGGCAUGAAAGCGUGGGUAGCAAACAGGAUUAGAUACCCCAGUAGUCCA
rnacentral:rRNA from 1 species